UUCCGCUCUCCCAACCCGAUUGUCCCUUAUCACAAGCUAAUUAGAUGGUAAACAUGAAUUAUUCAUCAAAAUUUCCCGAGACCAAAUCGAUAUGUCGACGGGCUCCACCAAUUUACGCCGGUGUAGCUGUUUGCAUAGGUCAUUGUUUGCAUAGGUCAAUUUGUUAUGGCGGAAAUUCUAUUUUUAAGGCAACCUGGGAAAGUAUUAUGUCGUUUUUAGGGAAGGUGAUCUCUCAUCUUAAUUAUAACCAGGCAGUAACUUACUCAGUGUUUUCCUUCGGUUAAGUAGAAUUCAGUGGCCGAGGAAAGCAACAUGUGUGCAUACCUUUUCAAAAUUUGCAAAGCAACUACCAUCGAUCACAAUUAGGAAUCAGCAAGAUGUUUUUGCAUCUAUUAGGACUGUUGAUAGAUAGAUUGCCACCACAGGUUCAUGUAUUGAAUUUAAUUGUCAGCAGCUCACAGGCUACUACAGAUUCAUAUCAACAUGAUAAAAGUACAAACCCUUUUUGUUGGUUGUGUAGCAAAAAGGCAAAAAUGUAUGACAUAUUUUCUACGGAACAGUAGGAUUACUUUUGAUAAACAUAUUUUACCAAUUUGUUUGGCUUGCGAUCUCCAACUGAACCAACUUGACCAUGUAGUUAUAAGAGAGGGCUUGUACCUGAGCACAUAUAAUCUAGGUUAAACAUAAGGAAGGAAAGUAAUCGCAGUACUUUUAGUAAGUGUGUGCAAAUUACAGCGGAGCCUAUUGUUCGUUCAUGGCUGCACAAUGUUACUAUGCACACAGAGUUCACGAAAACAAAUGUCGACCAUAAUAUAUCUCAGACUACAUCCUGAAAACAAAUACAAUGUACUUGGAUACAAAUGAAAUUGUUAGAAAGAGGUGACAUGUCACACAAUGAGUUUGUAUAAAUUUUACCGAUUAACUCGCUCCACAUUUCCCUGCAAAAAAAAAGCUCGCUCCACAUGAGCCUGGAUACACUGGCUUCCGCUGGUCCACUGCAGCCACCUUUUUUAAUGAGAAAAAAAUUAGAGACAGCUUCGGAUAGAUUUUCCCUGCUAAUUAUCAUAUGCAUUUUUUUCUCAAGUUCAUUUAGGAUCCGGCUAACAUUCUGUACCCAGGACUAUCAGCAACCAACCUUUUGUGCCCUUGUUCACAACGUGCUAGCCAUAAAGAUGACAAAGCCCUUGUUCUUGCUGCUGCAAACACUCCGUUGCUAUUGGAUUGGGUAGAGAACAUCUGUCAAUUAUUCAUGUGCCCGAUCUUAAAGGCACGCAAUGCAUGUUCAAGGUCAAUCUCGGCGGCACCCCUCACAGCCUUAGGGAAACCAAUUUCGAGAGCUUGGCUGCAAAGGAAUUGAGAGUUGGGUCCUCACAUCGACCUGAUCCUUUCGUGCAUCAAUUCUGUAAGUUGGAGAAAGCACUUGAACAUUUUUAGUCCCUCUACAUUUAUUCAUUGUUGUUCUGAUUUCACAAAGAGUUGGUUAAAUUGCUGAUUCAUUUCUUGAGCAAGUAGAAAACAAAAUGCUUGGAAGCAAUGACCAUCGCAAUCAAAAGCAAUGACCCCUUGCAAAUUAGUCAAUGCUUGCGGUUUCUUCAGACAGGCGAUGCAUGGGAUUUUUUUCAUGAGAAAUAAUGCCACCAUGCAUUUUAGUAAAUCCGGUGGAAAUGAAUUAUUUAAAUCUCGUAGAUGAUAUAUCAAAUGGUAAAACAGAAUAUCAUCAUUAUUUUUGUGCGGAACAAUAGAAGUCUGAAUACUUUAUUAUUUGUUUUACACGACAUUUCUAAACUGUACCACCUUCUAGGAGAGUUACUGAGAAAGUUUAUGAAGAUAUUAGCCAUGCAUAUUAAGCUGUGGGAAUGUCUGUUUUGCAAAUAUCCAAAAAAAAAUUUAACUGCUUACAUAUUCAAAUGUAUAUUGCACUUCCAUGUAGGCAUAGUUAUUGAAGCAGUGACAACACAUGCGAAGAUAGAUCAGGGCAGUAGAUUGUUGAUGGAAGAAAAUCAGAUGGAAAGACGAGUUUUUCUCUUUUGUAUAUCAAUAGCAAUAGCAAUGAAGACAUUGUAAGAGGUAGGGACGAGAAAUAAUUCUCACGGAUCAGUCAGCGAGGAUGCCUCGGUAGAUAACAUCUCCAUUCCUAGUAUCUCAGAUUCGUCCAGAAAUAAUUCUUCCGGCUGUUUCCCAUGAUCUGUUGUACAUGUGCAACUCCUCAACAUUGCGGAAUCUAACAUGAGAGAAAUGAUUAUCCAUGAACUGGUUAAUGAUCUACCACAGUUUUGAUGCAGGAGAGAUUUCGUGGUUACCUGGUGAUUGUAGGAGGCAAGGCGGCGGGAGCCGGGACAAGUGACAGUGCCAUCACCCUCUUGAGUCGGGGUGACGGAGAAUGCAUCAAGUCGCCAUGGAGGAAACUUCAGGACAGGUCACGUGGAAGGAUCGAGCAGGGGUCUAAGGCGACAUAUGCUGUUAGGACGGUAAUGCUGGAAGUAAUUUUUGGUGGAAGUAAUGGUGGUUGAUGAUGGCAAUAAGGGUAGGGGUUGGCCGUGAUUUUGGAACCAGGUAACCACGAGCAUUAACUGAGGAUGGUUGAAACUGAGCUAUGUUUGAGGAAUUGAUGUUGGCUGACGAGCGGAGAGGGUACCAUGGAUUAAUUGGGCUUGUUGGGUUUGGCCCACAUAGGUUGGUGAGGGGCGAUUCUAGAUCAGCUGACGAAGGUUUGACGAAGGAACGGCGGACCGCCUGAUGACGGAACUCGUUUCCCCUUUUUAAGUAGUAGAGAUUGUUGCCUUCCCAGAAAAGGAGCUAUCUAUGGUAAGAUGAUAAAUUCGUCAUUAUGUUGUCUUCCCAGAAUUUGAGCCUAGUCUAUGGUAAGAUGAUAAGUAGUCAUUAUGUUGCCUUCCCAAAGGAGCUUUAUUUUUAGGAGAUUUCGAGAAUUUGAGACAUGUCGAAUUUGAUGUAGGUGGUGCUGUCGAUGGAUUGGCCAGAAAUCACCAAUUAUAGAGCUUUCUUUUUAGGAGGAAACCAGAUUUUAUGCCUUUUGUCAGGUUUCUAUUUAGGUUUCCUAUUUUAUAGGUUUCCAGUUCUAUAGGUUUCCUAUUUUUGUUUACACGCUGGACAUUUAGGUAAGAUGGUUAUGAUGGCAAUAAACAAAAUGCCUCUGAUUGUAAGAUGGUUAUAUGGUAAGAUGAUUAUGUCUCUGAUAGGAUUAGGAUGUAGCGAUGCGGCCCAUUAUGGCCCAUUCGUGAUUAGCGAUAGGAUUAGCGAUGGUUGACGAAAGAUGAUGGCAGAAAACGGAGGAAGUUCCUCCUUUUUAUAUAGUAGAGAU